ACGUCUGGGUGAUGGUCUCGGCCCUUGCCCUCCGCCCCUCCCGCCUCUGCCGCUGUCAGAUCCUCUUCUCUUCUCCACAACUGGGAGCUCCAGGGAGCAGAUUGUUUUGGCUGGAAUUAGCCGGGCGCAGAUGGGGCUGACGCGCUGCCUGUGAGCAGCCCCGGGGCAGGUGGCCCUGCGGGCGUCGGGGAAGCGGGGCUCCUCCGCUCCAGAGCCGGGGGGAGGAGACAGAGCCUGCGGGGGGAGGACAGGACAGGCCCCUCAGGGUGGAGCUGACCGCGCCCCUGUCCUCGCAGGGCUCAGGAAAGUGCGGGGGCGCAGCAUCACUCCGCGGCUGGGCAGCCACCGAGGGACACGUUCUUCUGUGCUCAGGGAGAGGAUGCGCCCGGGGUUGGGGAGGGCAGGCCCGGGCUGGCGCAGCCGACAUCCCCCGCGGGGCCUGGGACCCUGCCUCCCCCCAACCCACCCUUCGGAGGUGAGCCUGCAGCGCCCAGCAGGCGCCCUCGCUCGCCAGGCACGCAGACAGGGGCCUGCAACCCGGUGGCUGCUCCGCAGGGUUAGGGUCAUCCUUAGGAUCGCUGAACAUUACAGGACAGAAGAAUCGAGGAAGGGUUAGAAGCACCGGUAGAGGCAAUAAGGCAUCUAUGGAGACCCGGCUUCGGGACUCCGCUCUGCUAGGAACGACUUGGGCUUUUAUUCCUUCUGAGCCCCAGAACUUUAAAAGCCAAGGCCUCAGAUGAGACAAGAUCUCUGCCCCCGGGUGUUCUCGCCUUGGCCCUCGAUCUCAGAGUAGUCCCACUGCAGGUGCAGGACGCUCCUGCCGCCCCUGGUACCCCGGGCCUUGCUGCUUCCUCUGACCACCUCGGAUGCUUCAGAAUCCAGCAGGUCUCCGUCUCUCCGUUGGAGGAGAUGCUAGUCCCGGAGCCUGAAGGACCCUCAGAUGAUGAUGUGAUCGGAGUAAUACCGCCUUUCCAAGGUCGAUUAUUUCCAUUCCAUCCGUGCAUGAAGAAUUCUGGUGGACCAGGACAGACUGCUGGCGGGAAGCGGGGAAACUAGCUGGUUUCUUUCGAUGCUUCCAUAGGCGUUUGAAGGAGGGUUCCACCGUGACAUGUUGAAGAGAGCACUGUCAGGAGGCUGGGGUUGCGACAGUCUAUGCUCAAGGGCUUUCUAGACCAUUCAGGAAUAGAAACAAACCAAUAACCAGUGUGGUCUCAAGGAUAGGUAGGCUUCAGCUUCCUUAUCUACAAGAUGUGGCUGGUGCAUUAACUGCUUUUAUUUUUCCAAGUGUGACACACAUAAAGAUUCUCUUCCUUACCCAAGUCAUAGGAGAGUUUUAUUAAAGAACAAGAACAAGAUUUUGGACACUUCUAAUGCAGACACCAAACGUGUUACAAUGUGGUCGGGCCAUAGAGGAGUUUAUAGCAUGUUCAUAGAGCGAUCUGUAGGUUAAAGCAUGUGACUCAAGGGAUCAGGACAAUUCCUGGAAAACUAUUUGUACGAAUCCUUAUUUUAAUUUCCAUCUUCAAAACCAAGGUAGUACAUAAUAAGCAGCCCUUGUGGUUAGGACUCUUCUUGUUCAAUAAGAGUUUUUUCUUUAAUGUUCCAUCACCACUUAUUCUAAAUCGACUGAAAUGUUCCUUUGCAUGGAAUUGUCUUUAGUCACAGAAACCCACUUUAUGUUACGGAAAAAGAAAAAAAAAAGUGUUUACUCGGAUGUUAGGCUGAUUAUUCUAAGACCUACUUUCUCCAGAAAUGGCAUUUUAAGUGUUAAAAAAAAAAAAAAAAAAAAAAG
rnacentral:lncRNA from 1 species